rnacentral:rRNA from 1 species
GAUGAACGCUGGCGGCGUGCCUAAUACAUGCCAGUCGAGCGAACGGACGAGAAGCUUGCUUCUCUGAUGUUAGCGGCGGACGGGUGAGUAACACGUGGAUAACCUACCUAUAAGACUGGGAUAACUUCGGGAAACCGUAGCUAAUACCGGAUAAUAUUUUGAACCGCAUGGUUCAAAAGUGAAAGACGGUCUUGCUGUCACUUAUAGAUGGAUCCGCGCUGCAUUAGAUGGUUGGUAAGGUAACGGCUUACCAAGGCAACGAUGCAUAGCCGACCUGAGAGGGUGAUCGGCCACACUGGAACUGAGACACGGUCCAGACUCCUACGGGAGGCAGCAGUAGGGAAUCUUCCGCAAUGGGCGAAAGCCUGACGGAGCAACGCCGCGUGAGUGAUGAAGGUCUUCGGAUCGUAAAACUCUGUUAUUAGGGAAGAACAUAUGUGUAAGUAACUGUGCACAUCUUGACGGUACCUAAUCAGAAAGCCACGGCUAACUACGUG